GUUAGUCCAUUGGAAGUCAGCCUCCAUUUAUAAUAUUUUAACUGAUGGGAGCCCCUGGCUAAAAUGGCAUUCAAAAUCUCCAUCAGUACCAUUCACAUAAACAGGAGCCCAAAGGAAACACAGACUGAAUUAACUGAGAUAGUUUCAUCUUCUGUGAUUUGAUGUUUAAAACCAUCUGAUCUUCAAAGCCUUCAAAGAAGACACAAGAAAAGGACAUCUUUCAUUUUUCCUAUGACUAUAUGUCAAGUCUCCCCAGUACAAUGAAGGAGAAGACCCCAAUUGUUGAAAUGCAAAAUCAGAAGAUUUAGAGCUAGAAAUGAGCUUUCAUUUGUCCUCUCAACUAGGGUUUUGCUGUUUCAAAAACGUUGUCCUUUGGGGGUUUGUGAGUUAUAAACAACUCAGGCCAUACAAAGACUGAGAACAAAAAUUCUCAUUUCCCUGGCAGCUGGAAAAUACUUUCCUUCAUUCAAGAUCAUCUUUCUACCUUUCAUUUUCACUUACUGUAUUUUCUCACCUUCCCUGCACAAAACCAAAUAAUCAGGCAAACAAGAUAACCCCAAACUUUACAACUGUCCUUCCUUUCUACUUUUAUUACUAGGCUGGAGUUUAGAUGGAACUGUUUUGUCUACUAUCUUAUGCUGUAUUCUACAUUCCCUUCAGGACAGUCAUAGAAGAUAUGUCUAAUUAUCAGUGAUUUUUUUCUGAAAAUUAAAUAUUAGAAACAAAUUAA